UACGUAGGGUGCGAGCGUUGUCCGGAAUUAUUGGGCGUAAAGAGCUUGUAGGCGGUUUGUCGCGUCUGCUGUGAAAAUCCGGGGCUCAACCCCGGACUUGCAGUGGGUACGGGCAGACUGGAGUGUGGUAGGGGAGACUGGAAUUCCCGGUGUAGCGGUGAAAUGCGCAGAUAUCGGGAGGAACACCGGUGGCGAAGGCGGUUCUCUGGGCCUGUACUGACGCUGAGGAGCGAAAGCGUGGGGAGCGAACAGG
rnacentral:rRNA from 1 species